GCACAUGCCUGCUUUCCUGAAAGUCCUGAACAUGCUCCGGACAGAGACUUUGGAGCUGUGGCUCAUGCUGUCUCCCCUCUCCACCCCGACCUGCCUCAUCCCACUCUCUGUCAGUCACGAAGCUCAGCAUGGGACAGAACCAGAAGCUGAAAGAGACCUUCAAAGCCAUCCCCUCAUUAUCCACAAGAGGUUCCACUCUCGAGGCCUGAAUUCUCCUGUGCAAGGAAGCAUGCGGCCAAAUUUAGCUUUGAGUAGUGCCAGCCAUUACAAGGGCUUCCCCAUGCUGAGCUGACAUUCAAUAAUGUUUGCUGAAUGGAGAAGGGUUUUUUAUCACGGCGCACAGAUCCCUUGGAAGCACUCGUAUCUGUUUAGAAAUGAUUUUUCCUCCCAUAGAGUAGUGGAAACUCCUUCCUAAACCAGGACCAAAAACUGUUAAACCAGCAGGAAAAACAGCAACAAGCAUGCAGGAUCCGGGUUGACUUGGGAGGGGAAAUUUGAGCCUGGGAUUUGGGUUUCUCUGUGAAGGAGGUGCUGUUCUCAGCAAAGCUUUGCCUGCUGGGAAGUAAUUUUGCCAGCUGAUAUACACUCUUACAGUUGAUUCUGUACCGAUAGGAAAAUAUCGCCUGGCAGUCUCUUUGCAUCUGGGACGGGGGCCACACCGUAGAGCCUGCUGGGACUCCUCCCCGAGAGACAGGCCCAAUGCCAAGUUUGUUUAUUUAGAGUCUACGGACCUGAUAAACUGCAAGAACAGCCAUUUAAAAA